GCCCCUGUAGCGCAGUGGAUAGCGCGUGAAUUUCCUACUAGCUACCCGUCCACGGUUAAAGUGGAACCAGUUCAAGGUCCCAGGUUCGAAUCCUGGCUGGGGUG